AGGACGAACGCUGGCGGCGUGCUUAACACAUGCAAGUCGAACGGAAAGGCCCGCUUGCGGGUACUCGAGUGGCGAACGGGUGAGUAACACGUGGGCAACCUGCCCUCAGCUUCGGGAUAACACUUGGAGACAGGUGCUAAUACCGGAUAAUAACCUUUCAUCGCAUGGUGGUGGGUUCAAAGUUUUUCGGCUGAGGAUGGGCCCGCGGCCUAUCAGCUUGUUGGUGGGGUAAUGGCCUACCAAGGCGACGACGGGUAGCCGGCCUGAGAGGGCGACCGGCCACACUGGGACUGAGACACGGCCCAGACUCCUACGGGAGGCAGCAGUGGGGAAUAUUGCGCAAUGGGCGAAAGCCUGACGCAGCGACGCCGCGUGAGGGAUGACGGCCUUCGGGUUGUAAACCUCUUUCAGCUCUGACGAAGCGCAAGUGACGGUAGGAGCAGAAGAAGCACCGGCAACUACGUGCCAGCAGCCGC
rnacentral:rRNA from 1 species